GACGAACGCUGGCGGCGUGCUUAACACAUGCAAGUCGAACGGAAAGGCCCUGCUUUUGUGGGGUGCUCGAGUGGCGAACGGGUGAGUAACACGUGAGUAACCUGCCCUUGACUUUGGGAUAACUUCAGGAAACUGGGGCUAAUACCGGAUAGGAGCUCCUGCUGCAUGGUGGGGGUUGGAAAGUUUCGGCGGUUGGGGAUGGACUCGCGGCUUAUCAGCUUGUUGGUGGGGUAGUGGCUUACCAAGGCUUUGACGGGUAGCCGGCCUGAGAGGGUGACCGGCCACAUUGGGACUGAGAUACGGCACAGACGCCUACGGGAGGCAGCAGUGGGGAAUAUUGCACAAUGGGCGGAAGCCUGAUGCAGCAACGCCGCGUGCGGGAUGACGGCCUUCGGGUUGUAAACCGCUUUCGCCUGUGACGAAGCGUGAGUGACGGUAAUGGGUAGAGAAGCACCGGCCAACUACGUG
rnacentral:rRNA from 1 species